rnacentral:rRNA from 1 species
GUGGCCUUAACCUGGGUAAGUCCGAACGAGACCUUCGGGUCUAGUGGCGCACGGGUGCGUAACGCGUGGGUUUCUGCCCUUUGGUUCGGAAUAACUCAGGGAAACUUGAGCUAAUACCGGAUGAUGACUUCGGUCCAAAGAUUUAUCGCCAAAGGAUGAGCCCGCGUAGGAUUAGCUAGUUGGUGAGGUAAAGGCUCACCAAGGCGACGAUCCUUAGCUGGUCUGAGAGGAUGAUCAGCCACACUGGGACUGAGACGGCCCAGACUCCUACGGGAGGCAGCAGUGGAGAAUUGUUCGCAAUGGGCGCAAGCCUGACGACGCAACGCCGCGUGGAGGAUGAAGGUCUUCGGAUUGGGGGGGCCUGUUGCCCGGGACGAAUUGCAUCGACCUAAUACGUCGAUGUUUGACGGUACCGGGUGAGGAAGCCCCGGCUAACUCUGUGCCAGCAGCCGCGGUAAUA